rnacentral:tRNA from 3 species
GGGCGAUUAGCUCAGGGGGAGAGCGCUUCCUUCACACGGAAGAAGUCGUAGGUUCAAAUCCUACAUCGCCCACCA